UUAUUUUGAGAAGAUUAGCAUGAUCCUUGCAUGAGGAUGACACGGAGAGUCAUGAUGCAUAUCAUAUUGUU
rnacentral:snRNA from 1 species